GGGGGAGGCAGCAAGUAACUUGUUGACAUUUCACAUAGAACAAGACGGACUAAACCUGCCUAUCAAGGUCGGGUCUUGGGAGUACCCUCAAACAGAUUGUAGCCAAUGCCAACUCUUCCACCAAAGAUGCUUGCGCUCCAUCAUGGACAUACGGUGGCAAGACCGCACUACAAACAGCGAUGUCCUUGCAAACGCCGGUAUGGACAGUAUAGAGGGACUUCUUUUGGUCCGACAGUUACUCUGGGCAGGGCACGUAUCCCGUAUGAGAGACGAACGUAUGCCAAAGGCAGUCUAUUUUUGGUGAACUAAAAGAUGGUCGACGUAACAGAGGCGCCCCACGGAAACGCUUCAAAGACCAGCUUAGGCGUCAACUUUCCUUGGCUGACAUAGAAGAGAGCACCUGGUUGCAUGCGGCCUCAGAACGAGACAGCUGGAGGUCAAUCACGAAGGCCGCGGGAUACACAUUUGAGACCAAAAGAAAAUCUGCUGGCGAGGACAAACGCAGACGGCGAAAAGAAAAACUAAAUCAACCACCUGCGGACAAUGGUUAUGCUUGCCUUGGUUGUGGCAAAAUAUGUAGGUCACCGCUGGGACUGCGCAGCCACGGGAAAUACUGCAUACCUCGCUGAUCUUCGGACUCGAAGACUAGCCUUAUUGUUAUUAUUUUUACCUUUAUAAGUUAAUUAGUAUUCCCAUGUCAUUACAGAUAUGCCCCACCCCCAACCAAUUUUUUUUCUCCCACCCAAUUGUACAUAGCCAAUGUUCUCUAGAUCCUAAUAAACAAACGUAUCUCUUACUGCUGGUCAUAAGUUUAAAGGCAAUAGCGUUAUAAUUCAGCCAGCAUGUCCAAUGUAAUCUUCGUUACUGGUAUAGACUUCAAAUUAGUCAAAUGCAGCCAAUAUUUGCCGAUCCGUUAUGUAUUAGCCAACUGGCGCACAGCAUGGAGCAUUCACAAGGAGAUACCUCGCUUUUACGAAGCGACAUUUCAAAGAAGUUUAAUGCCCAACUCUUGUUUAAAGUAGACUAGAGUUGGGAAACGAACAGAACCGAACAUGAACAAGCCUCACGACCAAACCAAACGAACUGUCCUUAUCCUUCUGCCACACCAGAAGUGGUAUCUAAACCCUCAGAUAGUGCACAUAAAGACAGUUUUGGUGAAUCCAGUCAUUCGUUUCAUCAGCUUCUCUCUAACCGAACCGAACCAUAGACGUUAUCGAACCGAACCAGAACUUUAUCAGAUGGGUUCGAUUCCCAUCUCUAGUUUAAAGGUGUCGGAAUCUUAUGUGCUAAUUUAGUGCAGUGGUAGAUAAGCUUUGUCGGGCUGGAAGCUGCAUCAUGGAAAAACAAAAAAGUCGAUCCCAUUGGAACCGAGCCUCUAGCUGCGUCUUCCUUUUGUAUUGUGGACAGACGUUUGGAGGGCACGGACGUGGCCUGAUAUCUAUAGCCUAUGAACUAUACGAACUCUGAAGCCUAUAAAGACAUAAACAUGAAAAUAAGCCAAAGUCUUCGUACAUGACGCUUUAUCUAAAGAUAAACACGAUCGAUUUCAAAGGUCAUAAUGCACCUACUUGAAAACUAGACUUUUUCCAGUGGGGUCACAAUGUCUACGUCUUGACCUCCAAGGCCUGGAGGUUCAUGGGGGCAUAUAAGCUUACUUGUUUCUAUGGUCAACUGCUAACCAGACUAUCAUGUGACCUGCAUAAUUCAAACGUAGACAAUUAUUACUCUGCGUCAAAAUUUGUGUUUCAAUUUCAUAAUUUCACAAUGUAUUUGCAAAAUACAAGUAGGCCAACUAAUGCUUAAACCAUCAAAAAUGACGGAUGUAUUAUCACUACUAGACCAGGAAUUGCGCCAAUAAGGAUAGAUGCACCCCCAUUCCAUCCACUUUAUCUAACAAGAAACAGACUUUUUACAAAGUUAAUUGACAGACUUUUUUUUUCUAUUUGUUAUGAGCUUUCCUACAUGUUCCUUCAAAAGUAUCGAUACUCAAAAGGAUGAUUUGGGCUUAAAGUCAUAUACAGACUUAAUUGUGUGACUGUCCCAGCUUCAAGAUAAGCUCCCUUUAUUGAUCAAGAAUAUUCUGAAAUUAUAGUAAGACUAACCAUUAGUUUAUUGCGAUGUCUAUCAAGAAAGUUUUUCUCUAAACCCUCCUGUAUGGCACUGAGACAUGGAUACUUUACAGAAAGCAACUAAGGUUCCUGCGCUAGGCACAUGGUGCAAGCUUACACUAUAACUAACGAUGUUCUGGCGAAUGACGGUCUGGAUAGUGUACAGACAACUGCUUACUGUUCGACAGCUGCUCUGGGCAGGUCACCAAAUGGGAGACAACCAAAUCUCAUAGGCAAUUUUUUUUUUGGGGGGCUAGCUUAAAGCAGGAAGGCAUAAACAUAGGUGUCCCAUGGAGACACUUUGAAAAGACUGGCUCAGACUUAAGAUUACCCUAAGUGGCAUGGCAACACCUGGCAGCUAUUAGCCGCAGAAAGGCCGAGGUUACACAUUAUUGACCCGGAGGAAAGUUUCUGUUGAAGACAUCGUUCACGAUUGUGUAACAAAAUAUCACAUCUAGGCCUGCACUUCUAAUCUAAGGAUACAUUGUCUUACAAAUAACUUUUUUGGUUAAUACAGAAACAAAAUGAUUAAGAUUGUUAUAUUAAGAAAUAUUAGAGGAUUUUCCCUAACACAAAGAAACAAAGACAGACAAAUUACUAAAAAAAAAAAAAAAUGAAACCAAAGUAUUAGAUCCUAAUAAAUGACACUUUGGAAGUGCUGAAGAUAAUUUUUAUUUUUUCAUAUUUUCUGUUGCAAUGCUUAGAAUAAAAUUCAACAACCUUUCUUUUCUUUUUUUCAUCAAGAACCUUUACAACACAAGUAAAAAAUAACCCAACGAUCACAUCAAUCAUGUUUCUGUAGCAUUUAAUGACUUUUUUGAAGUUGUAGAUCUUUUGUUGAAUGGUUGCACACAAAAAGAAAUAUUUGCAACAGGAAUUAAUAAGGAAAACCAUCCCAUAAAAAAAAAUAUUUAAAAAAAAAGUUUAAAUGUGUGCUAAUGUUUGUAAUAUUCAAAUAAAAAAAAAUUUCAGUUCUGAUAACAAAAAUGUAUUUACACUAGUAGUGUACCUCAAUUUUUUUUUUCUCAAUUGUUUCCAAAUACUGUUGGUGAUACCAUUUUGUCUCAGUGAAGGACAAUUCAAAGUGCUGCAACAUUAACACAUAGCACCAUACACAUGUGUCAUAAUCUUUAAUUGUCAUGAUCUGUUGGCGUCUGCCCCAGCUGUCAGGUUAUUCCCACAAUGGCAGUGUUUUUAUUAUUUAUAUUUUGAUAAAACAGUUGAAUGAGCCCAAUUAAAACACAACAUUUUUACAAUAACAAAAAAUUGAAAAGAAAAUAGAUAAAUUAUUAUCUGGACAAACACCAAGAAUAAGUCACCAAUUACAACAAAUACAUUUUAAAUCCAAAUGUAAUGGAAGCAGUGCUAUUAGCAACAUAAGAAGAACUUUGAUUUGUAACCCUUAACGAUUUCAUCUGAAAAGUAACUUGACUGUUCCAACUGCUUGAGUCAACAUUAACAAUGUAAGAAGUCUAUGAAAUCUACCUGGCAAUGUAUGCUAUUAAAUAUCAGCCAAGCCUUGCUACAUGAGGCUGAAGGGUUCUACAUGUUAACAGAGGUCAAUCUUUAUAUACAAUCCUCCCUGCCCACUUAUCCAGGAGGCAUGCCACCAAAGUUGUUUCUAUAUAAAAGAAGAAGACUGUAUCCAUAUGAAUAUCUUGGGAGAUACACAUUUUAAAGCAAUGUUUGUGAAAAUAAUGAGCUUUAUAAACAACAAAAAUUUCAUGGAUAAAUUAAAAAAAUUAAAUAAAACAAUUUCACUGAUAGCCUUAAUCUCAAUCACAACUAUUACAAUCAUUUCACUCAAUAGCUCUUGUUUGUAGCAACUUCACUCUUAAUAGAAAAUGUAAAUGAAAUUAAAACAUCCUAGAAAAUUAAAUACAAUUCAAUAUUGAACUAAAUAUAAACACAGAAAAUGUAUCUUAUUUUACAAUUGAACAUUAUAGUCAUAUGUACCAUGUUGGCAAAACCAACACUUUAAAAUUUAAAUCAGUGUUUCCCAAACUGUGUUCCCUGAAUAGAUGUUCCCAACUACUGGAAUAAUUAACUAGCAGGCCACCAUGUGAACUAACUAAUCUCUCUCAAAAAUAAGCAAAGUGUUCUGUUAAAUACUCAGUAAGUGAAGUGUUCAGUUUGGGAAACACUGAUUUGAAGUGAUUAGAUUGGUUCCAAUUGUAAAACAAACAAUAAAAACACAUAAGUAAAUCAUAAAUGCAGUCUUCAUAGUCUGAAACCAAAACAAAUAUAA